rnacentral:rRNA from 1 species
CUAUGGGGAAAAACCUCCUUGUCAAAGCCUUAUCUAUCAAAUCUCAGACGCUAAGCAGGACUUGGCCUGGUCAAUACUUGGAUGGAAGAUUGCUGGGAAUACCAGGUGCCACAGUGG